rnacentral:tRNA from 1 species
GUAGGAAUCGAACCUACACCUAAGAGAUCAAAACUCUCCGUAAUUCCAUUU